UUCUGGUAAAACAUGUUAUCUUGCGUAAUUUAAGAAAUAUGAUACCUUGAGUAAUUUAUAUGUAAUUUAUCAUGGCAAUAGUUGAAUGAUACCAUAUCAAUGGCAGUGGCACAAAAGGGGAAACUAUGGUGGGCUGUGGCUGGGCCAUCCUAUUUUAUUGUAGAAAAGCAUGUGGCAAUCAUGGCUUCUUAAUUCGGCACCGUCAAAAGUGAUUUCGAAUGAGAUGACAAUGUUAAGGUGUGAUCCCGAGUGCGUAGGUUUGAGUGCCAUCAGUUUUUGACACUGUUGGUGAUAAGGUUUCAGUGGUCGACUAUGUGAUACAGGUAGGUCUCAAGAGCCAAUGAAAAUGGAAUCUUCCUCAUAUAGAGUGUAGUGGCAUUGUCGGUGUGACCAUGGAGUUCCAAAGCCAUCAAUUCCCGUUGUAGCUCGGCAGUUCCAA